rnacentral:tRNA from 2 species
AUUAGCUCAGUUGGUAGAGCAUCUGACUUUUAAUCAGAGGGUCGGAGGUUCGAAUCCUCCAUG